rnacentral:rRNA from 1 species
GACGAACACUGGCGGCGUGCCUAAUACAUGCAAGUCGAACGAACUCUGGUAUUGAUUGGUGCUUGCAUCAUGAUUUACAUUUGAGUGAGUGGCGAACUGGUGAGUAACACGUGGGAAACCUGCCCAGAAGCGGGGGAUAACACCUGGAAACAGAUGCUAAUACCGCAUAACAACUUGGACCGCAUGGUCCGAGCUUGAAAGAUGGCUUCGGCUAUCACUUUUGGAUGGUCCCGCGGCGUAUUAGCUAGAUGGUGGGGUAACGGCUCACCAUGGCAAUGAUACGUAGCCGACCUGAGAGGGUAAUCGGCCACAUUGGGACUGAGACACGGCCCAAACUCCUACGGGAGGCAGCAGUAGGGAAUCUUCCACAAUGGACGAAAGUCUGAUGGAGCAACGCCGCGUGAGUGAAGAAGGGUUUCGGCUCGUAAAACUCUGUUGUUAAAGAAGAACAUAUCUGAGAGUAACUGUUCAGGUAUUGACGGUAUUUAACCAGAAAGCCACGGCUAACUACGUGCCAGCAGCCGCGGUAAUACGUAGGUGGCAAGCGUUGUCCGGAUUUAUUGGGCGUAAAGCGAGCGCAGGCGGUUUUUUAAGUCUGAUGUGAAAGCCUUCGGCUCAACCGAAGAAGUGCAUCGGAAACUGGGAAACUUGAGUGCAGAAGAGGACAGUGGAACUCCAUGUGUAGCGGUGAAAUGCGUAGAUAUAUGGAAGAACACCAGUGGCGAAGGCGGCUGUCUGGUCUGUAACUGACGCUGAGGCUCGAAAGUAUGGGUAGCAAACAGGAUUAGAUACCCUGGUAGUCCAUACCGUAAACGAUGAAUGCUAAGUGUUGGAGGGUUUCCGCCCUUCAGUGCUGCAGCUAACGCAUUAAGCAUUCCGCCUGGGGAGUACGGCCGCAAGGCUGAAACUCAAAGGAAUUGACGGGGGCCCGCACAAGCGGUGGAGCAUGUGGUUUAAUUCGAAGCUACGCGAAGAACCUUACCAGGUCUUGACAUACUAUGCAAAUCUAAGAGAUUAGACGUUCCCUUCGGGGACAUGGAUACAGGUGGUGCAUGGUUGUCGUCAGCUCGUGUCGUGAGAUGUUGGGUUAAGUCCCGCAACGAGCGCAACCCUUAUUAUCAGUUGCCAGCAUUAAGUUGGGCACUCUGGUGAGACUGCCGGUGACAAACCGGAGGAAGGUGGGGAUGACGUCAAAUCAUCAUGCCCCUUAUGACCUGGGCUACACACGUGCUACAAUGGAUGGUACAACGAGUUGCGAACUCGCGAGAGUAAGCUAAUCUCUUAAAGCCAUUCUCAGUUCGGAUUGUAGGCUGCAACUCGCCUACAUGAAGUCGGAAUCGCUAGUAAUCGCGGAUCAGCAUGCCGCGGUGAAUACGUUCCCGGGCCUUGUACACACCGCCCGUCACACCAUGAGAGUUUGUAACACCCAAAGUCGGUGGGGUAACCUUUUAGGAACCAGCCGCCUAAGGUGGGACAGAUGAUUAGGGUG